AGGCAUUAUUAUCCACUAUAGAAUGCCUAUGUCACAGACUCUCAGUAUGUCACAGUAUCAGAAGGUUCCAAGUCUGCCACUCCCUCAGUCUUUCUGUGGACCUAUAGUAUGCAACACAAACAACUUGAUCAUAUACUUUUCUUGUCGAUGUGACUACCUAAUGACUUGCAGCAGGUAAUUGAGAAAGACCUGACUAUCUCACCACAGGCUGGGAAAUCACUGUUCUUACCAGGAGGACACAUUUGUGUGGAAAUCAUACAGAGAUCCAUCCUCCACCCAACCCAUCCUCUUCUCAUAGAACAGAGCACAAGCAUAAUGGAAAAGUUCCUGACAGACAGCAUCAGAAGAACCACAUUAGAGGCUACCGCGGACAGCAAAGAAAAGGGACGUCGUCCUGAGAGUUCUUUAAAAGACAAUUAAACCACUAUACUGGGGACUAAUGUCAACAACAAGGUCCAGACUUCAUGACCUGAUCCUUCCCACCAAGGUUGUGAAAACGGAACUGUGAAAAAGAGAGUGCAUAUAGAAAAGAUGUGUAGUGGUCAGGAAAGUGUGCCUUGGGCGAUCAAAUUAUAUGUAACAUCAUUAGAUGUGACGAAUCCUUGGAUGCUGUCUGCAAUUGCUGCAUUUCUGGCUUCUCCCCGGGCCUCNCCNGGAAGGACUCAGACACAUUUGGGCUAAGGACAGUGUGCUGUUUCUUUUGUCAACUCAUUAGCNGCUUCUGUGUGCCCAUAUAAAACAUUCAU